AAGGCAAUAGAAAGACAGCAAAUGGAAGAUGAAAGAACAAUCUGGUCGACAUAGGAAAGUAGCAACUUUGAAGCUACUAGGAUUUCUUCAUAUUCCUCGGCUUUGAAGUCGAGUUUUCCUCCUCCGCUUGAUGUAGCUGAUAUUAUAAAGGUCAAGAUCCGUACGUGAGUUUCAUUGCAGAUCCUAGCUCCCAUCUUCCAGAUCUUCUCAAAGAUAAGUAUCCUCUACUUUUCAUCCAAUCCUAGCUGUGUAAUAGCUUGAAACCUUAACUUGAUACCUAAACUUUGAUGAGCUUAUUGUGCUUACGAAAUCUUGGAACUGGACAGCCUUAUACUCCGAUUUGGUUUUGAGGUACGCUUCCCAAACUUAUGACUUAUGAAUCGGGUCUUCUAACUAAAUUUAACAUAGUUACUUAAGUAAACUGUGGAUCGAUUAUAUUUCAUCUCACCUAAAUCUCUGAACUGGUGUUGUGUAAUAGAUUCCACUGGAGUAUUACUCCAAGUACUUAAAGAUAUGUUAAAUUAAAUUAUAUAAAUCCCCAAUUUUAUCCAGCAAAUUAACAUUACUAAAAUGAAGUUUUACUUAUUCCUCUGUAAAGAAAUAAACCUCAUAGAGAUUAAUAUCACCCUUAUAUAAGUUUAAGCAAAGACUUCAAGACCUAGUUAUACUCAAUUGCACUGUUGUCAUGUUUAUGUAAACUUGGGUUUCUGUUUGAACUUUGUUCUAUAGUUGAGCUCCCCUGUCUGCUUACUUUACUAUUCUUGAGAGUUUUGAGAGACACUUAAAAAAUACCUGACUUAAUCUGGUGCUUAUUGAUUCAUUUUCAUGAUUCUAUGAUGUGGAAUCUGUUGCUUUUUAUGUAUUGUGAUUGCUUUGGCCCUUUUUGGCAACUCCAUGAAAUUGUUGAAAAUAGUUGUACCUGCAAAACUAAAACACCAGUCAGCUAAGAAGUUUGUCAGUGUAUUUUCUUCUCUGUAAGUGUGCUGUACUUUAAUUAAUUCCAACUCCAUCAUUUUUUGUAUUCUUUUUAUGAUUCGUCUUAUGGUCCAAGGGAUCUCCCAUUCCCCUUUUACUAUUUUGACCAAUCAAAAUGAGUCAGUUUCAAGCUCUAAAGGAACCGUAUGGUGCUCAACAUAGCAGCUGCACCUUUACUUCAUGGACAGUGCUUCUGCAUAAAUAUUAGUAUUUUCCUACAGCUGCCUACAUGAUGCAUAAACUAAAUCACCCUCAUCAUUUCUAAUACAGAAUGCUACUGAGAUUGAACUUGGAUUUCCUUUUGAAGUGCCAUAAAAAUUUCACUUAUACCAUUCUUGAUAAGUUUUUUUGUCAUGUAACUACCUCUAUUUGUACGCGUUGCAUGUACUUCUACAAACGUUCCACCAUCAAAGUCCAUUUGUUAGGUAAUUCCUUUAACCAUGAAUACCUAACUGGGGUAAAAAAAUGUAAAUUGUUAUCAAUCUCAUAAAUAACCCUAUGCAUUGACAUGAAACCUUCAUGAUUUAUUGUGUUUCUCUUUUUUCAUAACUACCAACAUAUUAAACCUGGGAUUGCCAGCGCAAUCGGUUUAAUCCUGUUAUUAAAUUUUAUAUUCCACCAUUUUAAGAAAGCCCGGUGACAUUGCAUAUAAAUGGUCUUUCAACACCUACACUCAUAGUAAUUCCACACUCUAGAAGCAAAGUUGCUCGAAAUAAAAAGAUGAUGUACUAUUUCUAGAUGUGGAGUGUCACAACAUCUGCAUCUUGAAACUAAAUUAACACCACAUCUUUGCAGUAUCUCAUCUAUAAAAAUCUCAAACUUUCAUAAAAAAUAAACUAAUCUUUAAUGGUACCCCUUUACACCAUAUAUACUUCCACUAAACCUCAACUUCCUUCCCGUGUCUAACUAAAUGAUAAGCACUAGACACAAUGAAUUUCCCAUUUAAUAUUAGCAUCCACCAAGGCAGGUCCCAUGGUGAUGCAUUUUGACCGAUAAGAAUAUUAUCUAUGCAGUGAUGAAUAAUGUUAGUGGGAAGCACUGACUGCAUUUUUGAGUAUCCCAUUUACCACCUGUAAUCAGCUUGUCAAUGUCACCUUCUUCUUUAUUGAGGGGGAAAUAAGGGUCAAAUCACAUAAUACAAAGCUCCCAACUUGGACCCAAUUGUCAAAUCAAAUAUUAGAAGAGCCUAUAGUUUUCUCCCACUAGAUUUCUUGCUCUAUGUUAUCCCUUGCCUCUAGCAUUUUCCUUCACACUUAAAAAUCUUUUUUCCAUUGAACUACUGUUAGAAUAAGUUUCUUACAGUAUUAUUCCAUAUACAGUCAGUUCUCAAAGACCUAGUAGUUCUAAAAAACCACUAUAACUUCGCAAACAUAGCCUUCGAUGUGUCAAAGAAAUCCCUGAAGCCCACACCUCCCUCUUUUUUUUUAGGGAAAUACAUCUUCUCCCAUAAUAACUAGUGCUUACUAUUUCCUUCCUCUUUAGUGCUUUAUAGAAACCUAUUAAAAAUCUUAGGCAGUUCAUAAAAAAUGCACUUUGAAGGCACCACAACUGAUAAUAAAUACAAAGGCAUACUUUGUAUAACACUGGUAAUUACGACUAUUUUUUCCCAAAAGAAAGUAAUUUUUUUUCCCAGUUCUGUAGCCUUUUCUUCACCUUCUUGAUGAGAGCAUUAUAAUAUUCUUUUCUUUUCCUUGCAUGAGUGUAGAACACCCCAAAUACUGGAAAGGAAAUUUUCCUGGUUAAAACCUGUUAUACCUUUACAUCAUUCAUAAAAAAUCCUGCAAAUAUAUUAUACAUGUAAAAAGGGCUUUUACUCUCAUUAAUUAACUACCCAGAGAUGCCCUGAUAUCCCUUCAAAACAUUCAUAAUUAAAUGUAAAGAAGUUUUAUCUGCAGAGGCAAAGGUUAUUGUAUCAUCUGCAUAUGGAAGAUGAUUUAGGUUCCUAUCUCUAUUUAGGCAGUCCAUAACCUUUAUACAUUCCAUCUUCAAACAAAGCAUUAAGGGACCUUUACUACACUCCAGGUGAUAGAAUAAAUAAAGUAGGUGACAGGAGAUCACCUUGUUUCAAUCCUCUCGUUGAGUGAAAAAACCUUAUGACUGUCCAUUGAUGAUGAUUGAAUACCAGCUGUUAGCCACGAAUCUCCAAAUCAUAUCUAUGAAUAUUUCUGCAAAAUCCAUUUUCCUCAUCACCCCUAGAUAAGUAAAACCAAGAAACUCUAUCAUAAGACUUAAACAUAUCCAAUUUCAAUACCACAUUAGCAGGUUUUUCUCUAAACCUAAUGUUUGAUACAAUCUCCUAUGUUAACAAAACAUUCUCAAUAAUGCUCCUUCCUUUAACAAAGCCUGACUGAUUACUAGAAAUUAAUUUUGGAAGUACUAAUUCUUGUCAUUCAUGAAUAACCCUUGAGAUUACCUUGUUAAUGAAAUUGCUCAGGCUGAUAGGUCUAACGUCUGAGAAAGUUUCUAUCAUCUCUUUUUUAGGUAUCAAAACUAAAUUAGUGCGAAUAAUACUUUUAGGAAGAGUAUUACCUUACCAAAAACUUCUUACUAACUGAAGAACAUCCUCUCCCACAAUAUCCCAACAUUGCUGAUAAAAUAACCCCAAGAAGACAUCAAGACCACAAGAGCUACUGCCAUUUAGAGAAAAUACUGCAAGUCCCACUUCUUCUAAUAUAGUCUCUGCCAUCAAUCUCUCAUUAUCCUUUUCACUCACGAUUUCUUUAAUAUGAUUUAACAAUUCAAAAUUUAUACCUUUCUCCUUCUGAGUAAACUUACCCUAGAAACAUUUGACUGCUUCCUCACCAAUUAAUUUGCUAUCUUCCAGCCAAAAACCUUUAUUAUUCUGUAUCUUGCUAAGUUGUAAUCUCUUUCUUCUCCCCUUCACAAGACUCUGAAAAAUAUUGUGUUUCUGUCAACCAACUUAAACCAAGUUAUCUGAGCUUUUAUUUUUCUAAAAUUGCUCUUUUAGGUGAAGGUACCUUUUUACUUCUGCUUGAGCCUGUUGUAGUAUACUACUAUUCUCUAGAGUAGGGUGUUCUUCAAAUAACUUCUCUUUAAUCUGCAUUAUUUCUUUUCUAAUAGCAAGCUAUUGAAAAAUAUCACCAUACUUAUCUCUACUCCAUUUAUUUCGAGUUUUUUUUUUUACAUUUUAUGGAUUAUAAUUGAACACCCAAAACUAUUACCUAUUUCCUCUGACCUCCAAUGCUGUCUUACCACUUCUUUGAAGGGGGGUUCUUCCACCCAAAAGGCAAGAAACGCAAAAGGUGUAACAACUUGUUGUGACAUUGUAUGCAUUGUAAGAAGCAGAGGAGCAUGAUCCGACCUAGUUCUAGGCAAGUGCUCCCAAUUUUGUAAAGCUGCAUUAGAGAACGCGCUAUCUAAUCUUUCAAAUAUACAAUCACUUCCUUCUCUACCAUUCUACCAAGUAUAUGGGCUUCCUUUGAAUGAUAUUUCAUCAAGCUCACAUGAAUUCACUCAAAGUGCAAAAUCCUUCAUCUCUUGAUGUAAGACCCCAUAAAAGUCCUAGUCUAAUUCAGUCCUAUAUAGCAUGAAAAGAGGUCCCAGACUUAGAAAAAUUCAGCUAAGUAUUGACACUUAGUUUCUUUUUGGGCUCGAUACAAUGACUUUAUUUUCGAUCUUUCCAGCCUUGGAUUAUCAAUCUUUUAGUUGAUUCAUGAUCAGGGAUGUUAAUAGGUCAUAACGGGUGAGUUUAAGAAUUUUUGGACUAGUGUAAGGGUGAGUUUGGAUGUCCAAAACAAUAAGGUCUCGCGAUAAGCUCACGACGCGAGAUCCAAUUGUCGUUUCUGGGAGUCGCAUCGUGAGGUCUAUUCCCCAUUUUUGGGUGUCGCAAUGCGAGGUCUAUUCCCUAUUUCUGGGAGUCACGAUGCGAGGUUCAUUCCCCAUUUCUGGGAGUCACGCCUCGAGGGUCAUUUACACGGGAAAAGAGGCCUAGGGGCAGUUAAGUCCUGUUUCCCUCACCCAAAUCAGCUAAAACACGAAAUUAAACACCAAAGAGGGCAAAUUGCAUUCAUUAUUCACUCAAUCCUCUCAAGAACAAGCCCUAGUUUCAUCAAGCUCAAGAAUCAAGUCUCAAGAAUUCACCACAAUCUUCACGAAAUUAAUAAUCAAGGUAUGUUAGUGUUCAUCCUUGGGUUUCCUUCCAUCCUUGGAGUUCAAGAACCCUUUAUAAAACUACGAUUUUAUUGAUUCAUGAAUUUGCAUAUGCAAAUUUGAGUUGUAUUCAUGCUUGUGUUGUAUGGGUUUCAAAUCAAUAUUUUGUUAUGAGUUUCAUGAACCUAAGAUAGCAUGUAGUUGAUUGAUGUAAUUCCCAUGUUACAAUCCUUGAAAUUGAAUGUUUAAGUUGUAGUCAUGAUGCUUAUGUGUUGUUCAUUAUUAUGUAUAACAAUCAUGCCCCCCAAGUGUUUGAUAGAAUGUCUAUGUGAAUUGAAUAAUUUAAUCAUGACAUGUUAGUGUGUGUUCUCAUUCAUGUUAGUUCAUGGCCUUCAAGUGUUUGGCAAAUUGCCUCGGUGAAUGAAUUGUGAACAAUUGACUAUUGCUAUGCUUUCAAGAAGUAAUACGUUUUACCUUUAUGCUAUUGAGUCCUAGGAGUAUUUAUUAUCCGAAUUCUAGUUGUUUACUUAGUCGCAGUAGAAAUAGAAUAGACCAGUAAAAAAAAAGGUCAAGAAUAGUAGUACCCAGUCAGUAACAGAAAUCAGUGAACUCAGUCCAGUUCAGUCAGUCAACACGAUCAGUGUCAGUUCAGUCAAGCUUAGAAAAAUCUAGUGACCAGUGUCUAUUAAGUUGGGAGUAGGAUUCAACAUCGAGCGAACCCAAGGAUGGGGGCAUUCCUUCCAGCAGAGGGUUUGACCCUUAGUAGCAGUCCCUGCAUUAAAGAACUACGUAGCUAGCGUAGGGUAAGAUGUCCUUCUGCCAAACUAGGGUUGACGCAACCGUAUAUAUAAUUCAUGAGUCUUCCUAUCAGAUUAGGGUUGACCCAGCAUUGUUAGUAUCCCUUGUCAAGGUGCUAACAUCUUUCCAACUUGGACCACAGGUUGGACCCUAACUCAGUUUAUAAUCGGGAUAUGUCGGUUAGAGAAACACCCCCACAGUUACAAUUUAGUUUUAGACUCAGGAUAUAACUUAGUUCAGUUCUACAAAAUCAGGACUGUCAGAAAUAGUCACCCAGUUAUCAGUAAUACAGUUAUCAGUAAACUCAGAUAUCAGUUACUCAAUUAUUAGAACUCAGAACUAAGUAUUCAGUUUCAGUAUGAUCUCAGUUACAGUAUACAAGUGUAUGCACAGUCUUGAAUAAUCAGUAUGUACAAUAGUUUCAGUUGCCCAUGUACUCUCAUUCAGUUAUAUAUAUAUAUGUGUAUAUAUAUAUAUAUAUCAUUUAGUCAAUCAUUGUUCAUGCAUAUGAACCCAUGUAUAUCAACCUACCUCACUUAGCAUACCAGUAAAUUCAAACUACUGACACAUACUCUUUCUUUUGCACAUUGAUGUCUCAUAUCAUAGGUUCAGACGCACAGGCUCCUGACCAUACUUAACAGCUCAGGUUAUCAGCAAUAGAUAUAGUGGAUUAUUCCCAAUUUGAUGAGUGACUAUGUCAUGAAGUGCCUUUGUGGGACUAAUCUUCACCGAACCAGGUUCAAGCUGCUGCAAAACUUAGUCUGGUAUAGCAUGCUCCGUAUGAACCUUAUCAAUAUCACCUGGUGGUCCACCCUACAACUCUGAAAUUCUACGGGCUAUAUGGAGUCUGCCCUUAACUCGGCAGCCAAGCCCCGAACCCAAGUUUGCCGCAAGGGUUGGAGUCUCUAUCUCUAAUACGCUACAGGGCACUAGGCUAGCGUAUAAGCCCUCUAGGGGAUGUAAUAACCCGUAUCGGCAAAACACGGUUUCGGGCAAUGAGUUAUCUGAACUCGUUCCUUCUUCGGGAAUUCUUAAAUGGUGGAAAAGAGCCAACUUUUCUUGAGAUAUUCGAAGAGGCUCAUAAGAAGAAAAAGAAGGACAAGUACAAGAGAAGAUUGAGUCAAAACAUGCGUUAAGGAUGCAUAUGAUUUCAAAAAAGCAUAGAAGAUUGGUAUCAAACCAAACCUACUUCAGAGGAUGGUACCAUGGUCCAACCAUCACCUGCAGAUAUGACUAACAUGUAGACAGCUGCGGUAGGUGGUUCAAAGAAAGGUAGAACCUACGGUGUGUGGUUCUCCAAUCCUCAAGUAGUCCUUCGUUGUUUCCCAAUUUCUCUUCUACUUUACAAAUUAUGGAAUAAAUGGAAGCGAUGAGAAAGUAAAUUGCAGAGUUGAUGCAACAAUGAGCAACGAAUGAUGCUAAGUUUGUCAAGUUUGCUAAAUUUGAGGAGUUGGUCAAGAAGCACAUGCCUCAAGUAUCUGAUGAUGAGGAAGAGGAACUUGAUGAUUAUUAGAUUGUAGUUCUUGUUUUUGGUUGUGACUUUUAGACUUUAAGUUCUCAUGGGAUGUUUAACUAUUUGACUCGAUGUUUGUUUUGGAUUGUAAUGUUAUUAAGACUUAAAGUUCUCUUGAGA